rnacentral:lncRNA from 1 species
UCGGUUGAAGCAAAAAUUCAAGGAAUCCUCUCCACCUCUCCCCAAAUUAGUGGUGCAUGGUGAAUCAGUAGCCAUUUGCGACCUUAUAGCCCCAACAUGACCUCCUAAUUCCACCAGAGCCUGUCGUGACACCGGUUUCCCCCUUCUCAGACACCGGCGAGCAAGAAUUCUCCGCGCUCCGUGGCCAGCCGUUCCCAGGUCUGCUCCUGCUCUCCUUGAUCAUGUUUUAGCACCCAUGCAUGCUCGUGAUACUCAUUGGCUCAACCCUUUAUGCUUGACCACACUCAAUCAACCAGAACGCUUGGAUUUGUAUUCGGUAUUCACCGUCGCCGUGGUCGGGCUAGGCCAGGGCCAUAUUAACUCAAUUUAGGCUUGUUCUAUGAUCGCCUCGGGUCAGUAAUGCUUGCCCAUUGGUUAAUUUAGGCAGCCAACGCCGGUCAUGGCCAGUCCGAGCAACAAGGUGGCCGGCGGCGAGUGCAUCGUGGCCAGGGUCUGUUCUGGAGAAGAAAUAGAAAAUAGAGGACCUUAGUGUAAAUGUUAGUGAGACGCGUGAAUAGUGCCAAGGACUGUUGUUCUUAUUUUUGAACCAGUAGGGACCUUUCUGUAAAACCAACUGCGCGGGCGCGCGCGGGGGCAUUUCGCCUAUCGUGGGCCGUCUCGGGCUGAAUUCAGCCCAGUACUGUUGGUAACUUUUCCUUUUUCUUUUUCUGAGAAAGUUUAGAAAUCCAUAAAGAAUUAGAGAAAAAUAAUAAAAAUAUGAGUCCAAUUUUUUUGAACUUCUAAAUUUUCAUAGUAUUUAAGAAAAAUAAUUUUAGGAUUUUUGGUCCAAACAAGGAAUUAUCUAGUAUUUAAAAGGGCUUAAACCUAUACCUCUGGAAUUUUAGAAAUUAAUUAAUAACUCCAAAAAUCACUAAACUUUAUGGAUAAGCUUAAAAUACUAUUUAGAAACCUUGGGUGAAGUUUGACUUGAUUUGGACAAUGUUUGAUACCUAAACCCCAAAACCCUAAUCUUCUAAGUAGUGUUUCCCUUUGAAAUAGAAUAUUGACUCCAAAAACCCUAGUUUCCUGGAGUACCGUGAAGGAAAAUUGUAUUCAAGACCUAAUAUGUUGUACCUUUAUUAUCAUUGCAUUUUCAUAAGCAUUACAUGAGCAUUCAUGAUUAUAUAUGGUUAUAUAUAUAGAAAACGAAGAAGAAGUAGUGGUUGAAGAAGGAGCUGCACCACCACCACUAGAAGAUCCACCUGCCGGGAACUGCUUUUAUUUCGAUAUUUGUGGAGCAAAUCUUGACUCUCCUAUAACACAAGGCAAGCCCCGAUGCAUUUGCCACCUCCUUGCUAUUUUAAAAUCUUUCUCACUUGCUUGAUGCAUUAGGUGAUAGGAGUUGUGUGCUAAAACAAUUGAUGCAUUUCCUUCCUUGGAAAAUUUAUUACAUUUCCUUGAUGACCUGGUUUAUGAAAAGGUUUUUCUUAUGCUUAGCCUUGUUCUAGAAAACAAAAUGUUUUGUUUUGACAAAAGAUGAAGCUUCAAGUGGGUUGGGAGGUUUUCAAAAAUAAAACUGGAUGGUGGAUCCAUCAUGGCUAUCAUGGGUUCAACAUCGAAAAAGAUGUACCUCUGUCAGGUACCAAACUUUGGGUUGAAAUGAUAAAGUUGAGACCAGGCGAGUGACUUGCACGAGAAGAGAGUCUCGGUGUAGUGUCUCUGUCUACGUCGAUUAAGGACCAUCUCGAUGUAGGCUUGAUGAUUGAGGACCUUUUAACUGGUCACAUGCCUCAUCAUGGGUAAGCUUUGCCUCGGGCAGACUAAUACCAGAAUAAGACAACACACAAUGGGAGUGGAGAGAUGGCGAGAGUAGUGUGUACCCUCCGUGCCAAGAGGCUGGACGGUGGUGUAUCUGUGCUCUCGGUUGGCGUGAACUUGAUCUGGUUUUAAGAACCCCGGUGGCGAGUUGACAUAUGCAAGGGUUAAGUGCUACAUAUGUCGUGUGAUUGGAGAUCCCCAGCUGGGUAUUAAUCAAUUUAGAUCGCUGUUACUUCUCGGACAUGAAGACUUGGUCACUUCCCUACACGUAGCAUUCCAGUGAACAAGAAAGGUUCAUAAAAGGAUGGCUAGUAUAGGCCAAGUGCUUGAACCAAGGUAGAAAGAACUCUAGAAUUAGGUAAUGACUUAACUUGCUAAUAAAACUGGAUUUUUAAGGAUCCACUAUUAGUAAGCAUUUUUGCAAACAGAGUCUUGAUUCUUGAUUCAGCCUUACCUUGACUCCCUCAAGCCAACAUAUCCUUGAGAGUCUUUUAUUUUGACGGGUAAGACUUGCGAAAGUACACUUUUGUUGUAGGUGAGGAAGCAGCAAACUUUUGUUGCUUUUGUUCUAAGGUGGUACCGAAAGAAGAAUCUCAAGAGUGAAGCCUCGAGAGGAA